UUUUCCGUACCUUUAGAAGUUCUUUUCUCUCCUUCUGAGAAAGAAAUCUUGUUUUUCAUCCUGAUGAGCAUCCUCAUAGUAGUAUUUUUAUGUGUAUUUCUUUAGAAGAAAUUUUGAGAAGUAGAAUUGCUAAAAUAAAGAAUUGGAUGCACAUCAGGAUGUUCUGAAGAACAGCAGCAACCCUCCGGGAGAUAGUCACUUCAAUGCCAUGAUCAAAGACAAAGAAUCUCCCAUCAGAAGCUGUCAUUUUAUUUACAUUGUGGCCUUAGUAUUUGGAACCAUAAUCCAGUUCUCUGAUGAAAGUGAAUUUGUGGUAGACAUGUCAAAAACAAGCCUUAUUCAUGUUCCCAAAGACCUGCCACCAAAAACCAAAGUCUUAGACUUGUCUCAAAACAACAUAUCUGAGCUUCACCUGUCUGAUAUCAGCUUUCUCUCAGGGCUGAGAAUUCUGAGACUUUCCCAUAAUAGAAUCCAGGGCCUUGAUAUUAGUAUUUUCAAGUUCAACCAUGAUUUGGAAUAUUUGGAUUUAUCUCACAAUCAGUUGCAGAAGAUAUCCUGCCAUCCAAUCACCACGACUCUCAAGCAUUUAGACCUCUCAUUCAAUGACUUCGAUGCCCUGCCCAUCUGUAAGGAAUUUGGCAACUUGACCCAACUGAAUUUCUUAGGAUUAAGUGCUACAAAGUUACAACAAUUAGAUUUACUACCCAUUGCUCACUUGCACCUAAAUUGUAUCCUUCUGGAUUUGGAAGACUAUAAGAAAGAAAAUAAGAAAGAAAGUCUUCAAAUUCUGAAUACAAAGAAACUUCACCUUGUUUUUCACCCAAAUAGCUUUUUCUCUGUCCAAGUGAACAUAUCAGCGAAUAGUUUAGGGUGCUUACAACUGACUAAUAUUAAAUUGAAUGAUUACAAUUGUCAAGUUUUACUUAAAUUUUUAUCAGGACUCACUGGAGGACCAACCUUACUAAAUUUUACCCUCAACCAUAUGGAAACAACUUGGAAAUGUUUGGUUAAAGUUUUUCAGUUCCUUUGGCCCAAACCUGUAGAAUAUCUCAAUAUUUACAAUUUAACAAUAGUUGAACGCAUUGAUGAAGAAGUUUUUACUUAUUAUAAAACAACAUUGAAGGCACUGAAAAUAGAACAUAUUACAAACAAAGUUUUUCUUUUUUCACAGACAGCAUUAUACACAGUGUUUUCUGAGAUGAACAUUCUGAUGUUAACCAUAUCAGACACACGCUUUAUACACAUGCUUUGUCCUCAGGAACCAAGCACAUUUAAGUUUUUGAACUUUACCCAGAAUAGUUUCACAGAUAGUGUCUUUCAAAAUUGUGACACUUUAGCUAGAUUGGAGACACUUAUCUUACAAAAGAAUGAAUUAAAAGACCUUUUCAAAACAAGUCUCAUGACUAAGGAUAUGCUUUCUUUGGAAACACUGGAUGUUAGCUGGAAUUCUUUGGAAUAUGACAGACGUAAUGGAAAUUGCUCUUGGGUUGGGAGUAUAGUGGUAUUAAAUUUAUCUUCAAAUGCACUCACUGACUCUGUUUUCAGAUGUUUACCUCCUCGGAUCAAGGUUCUUGAUCUUCACAAUAACAGAAUAAGGAGCAUCCCUAAAGAUGUCACUGGUCUAGAAACUUUGCAAGAACUCAACCUUGCUUCCAAUUCUUUAGCCCACCUUCCUGGGUGUGGUAUCUUUAGCAGCCUUUCCAUACUGAUCAUUGACUAUAAUUCAAUUUCCAAUCCAUCAGCUGAUUUCUUCCAGAGCUGCCGGAAGAUUAGGUCCCUCAAAGCGGGGAACAAUCCAUUCCAAUGUUCCUGUGAGCUAAGAGACUUUAUCCAAAGCGUAGGCCAAUUAUCAAGUGAUGUGGUAGAGGGCUGGCCUGAGUCUUAUAAGUGUGACUAUCCGGAAAGCUACAAGGAAACCCUUCUAAAGGACUUCCAGGUAUCUGAGCUAUCCUGCAACACAGCUCUGCUGAUCGUCACCAUUGUGGUCCCUGGGCUGGUGCUGGCUGUUGCCGUGACUGUCCUCUGUAUCUACCUGGAUCUGCCCUGGUACCUCAGGAUGGUGUGUCAGUGGACCCAGACCCGGCGCAGGGCCAGGAAUGUACCCUUGGAAGAACUCCAAAGAACUCUCCAGUUCCAUGCUUUUAUUUCAUACAGUGAACAUGACUCUGCCUGGGUGAAGAAUGAAUUAAUACCGAACCUAGAAAAAGAAGAUAUAAGAAUUUGUCUCCAUGAGAGAAAUUUUGUUGCUGGCAAGAGCAUCGUGGAAAAUAUCAUCAACUGCAUUGAGAAAAGUUACAAAUCCAUCUUCGUUUUGUCUCCCAACUUUGUCCAGAGCGAAUGGUGCCAUUAUGAACUCUACUUUGCCCACCACAAUCUCUUCCAUGAAGGAUCUGAUAACUUAAUCCUGAUCUUGCUGGAACCCAUUCCACAGAACACCAUUCCUGAUAGAUAUCACAAGCUAAGAGCUCUCAUGGCACAGAGAACUUAUUUGGAAUGGCCCAAGGAGAAGAGCAAGCAUGGACUCUUUUGGGCUAAUAUUAGAGCUGCUUUUAAUAUUAAAUUAAGACUAGUCACUGAAAAUGAUGAUGUGAAAGGUUAAAAAAAAUAAAACAUCUGAAAUCCAAUUUAAGAAACCAUCAUUCACUUGGAUUCUGAUGGAUACUGCUUUCAAGUUAUUUCUGGAUGCUGCCUCCAUUAUUUCCAUGAAUGCAGGGAAGACUUACUGAAAACCAUGUUUCAGCUGAACUGGAAACCAGGCUGGGGACCGAGCUAGUGCUCAGACUUGCUGAUUACAGUGGGAUUCAGUAGGUGGCGUAGAAGAGCUUCCCCAGUCCGCCCACAAACACCAAACCAGCGAAAUAAAAUGUUUGAGGAAGUAUUUAAUUUUUCUACAGACUGCCAACAGGACAGAGGAACAGGCCAACUUGGGUCUUCAUGAACAGUGAUGAAGGGGGCAUACAUGGCCCUCUUUGAUGUUUGAAGAGGUCAGGAUCACCAAGGCAUCAUUGGGCAUCUCUGUGAAAGGAAAGGAGGACCCCUGUCUAGGGUCCAAGAGCGGGCUCUUGUCUAACACUCACGAAUGAAUUGUCCAAGGAGACACCCGUGCUGACAAAGCAAGAGACUUUAUUGGGAAGGGGCACCUGGGUGGAGAGCAUCAAGGGAUAAUUGUCAUUGGAUUUAGGGACUACCUAGAUUAGGUGUCCCCAACCCCAGGGCCAUGGACUGGUGCUGGUCCAUGACCUUUUAUGACGUGGGAGGCACAGCAGGAGGAUCUGUACUGUAUCCAGAUGCUCUGAAGAAUAGCAACUACCCUUAGGAAUGUCUACUGUUACAAAAUGACUAAAAAAAAUUCUAGCAUCUUCCA